rnacentral:rRNA from 1 species
CCUACGGGAGGCAGCAGUGGGGAAUAUUGGGCAAUGGGCGCAAGCCUGACCCAGCAACGCCGCGUGAAUGAAGAAGGCUUUCGGGUUGUAAACUUCUUUUCUCAGGGACGAAGCAAGUGACGGUACCUGAGGAAUAAGCCACUGCUAACUACCUGCCAGCCGCCGCGUUAAUACGUAGGUGGCAAUCGUUAUCCUGUUUUACUGGGUGUAAAGGGCGAGUAGGCGGGAAAGCAAGUCAGAUGUGAAAACCAUGGGCUCAACCUGUGGACUGCAUUUGAAACUGUGUUUCUUGAGUGCUGGGGAGGCAGACGGAAUUCCUAGUGUAGCGGUGAAAUGCGUAGAUAUUAGGAGGAACACCAGUGGCGAAGGCGGUCUGCUGGACAGCAACUGACGCUGAGGCGCGAAAGCGUGGGGAGCAAACAGGAUUAGAUACCCUUGUAGUC